AGUGGGGGAUAACGUAGCGAAAGUUACGCUAAUACCGCAUAUGCCCUGAGGGGGAAAGGAGGGGAUCGCAAGACCUUUCGCUUUCGGAGUGGCCGAUAUCGGAUUAGCUAGUAGGUGAGGUAAAGGCUCACCUAGGCGACGAUCCGUAGCUGGUCUGAGAGGACGGCCAGCCACACUGGGACUGAGACACGGCCCAGACUCCUACGGGAGGCAGCAGUGGGGAAUUUUGGACAAUGGGCGCAAGCCUGAUCCAGCCAUGCCGCGUGAGUGAAGAAGGCCUUCGGGUUGUAAAGCUCUUUCGGACAGAAAGAAAUCCUAUCCGCUAAUACCGGGUGGGGAUGACGGUACUGUAAGAAGAAGCACCGGCUAACUACGUGCCAGCAGCCGCGGUAAUACGUAGGGUGCGAGCGUUAAUCGGAAUUACUGGGCGUAAAGCGUGCGCAGGCGGUUUGGUAAGACAGACGUGAAAUCCCCGGGCUUAACCUGGGAACUGCGUUUGUGACUGCCAGACUAGAGUGUAGCAGAGGGGGGUAGAAUUCCA
rnacentral:rRNA from 1 species